CCUACGGGUGGCAGCAGUGAGGAAUAUUGGUCAAUGGGCUUACGCCUGAACCAGCCAAGUCGCGUGAGGGAAGACUGCCCUAUGGGUUGUAAACCUCUUUUGUCAGGGAGCACCGCCGGCUACGUGUAGCCGGACUGAGAGUACCUGAAGAAAAAGCAUCGGCUAACUCCGUGCCAGCAGCCGCGGUACUAAGGAGGAUGCGAGCGUUAUCCGGAUUUAUUGGGGUUAAAGGGUGCGCAGGCGGAAGAUCAAGUCAGCGGUAAAAUGGAGAGGCUCAACCUCUUCGAGCAGUUGAAACUGGUUGUCUUGAGUGAGCGAGAGGGAUGCGGAAUGCGUGGUGUAGCGGUGAAAUGCAUAGAUAUCACGCAGAACACCGAUGGCGAAGGCAGCAUACCGGCGCUCAACUGACGCUCAUGCACGAAAGUGUGGGUAUCGAACAGGAUUAGAUACCCGGGUAGUC
rnacentral:rRNA from 1 species